rnacentral:lncRNA from 1 species
AUCCUAAAUAUAAUUUAGUCACGAUGAAUUAAUUACUGAGCUUUUGCUCUUCUAAAUAGGAAACCGAAAUAUUUGGUGGCAAGAGGAUUUUGGGGAAAUGAUAUACCGUUUUCCAGGAAGUUUUUGGGAGAAGCACACAUUAAACAAUAGAGGUGUCUUUGUAUGAGAAAUGACCCAUUAUUUAAUGUUGAAUGUUUGCAGUGGUUGGAGAGCAUUAUUGGAUAUAAGUAUCUCCCUUAAUAUAUUACCUAUUUUAUAUGGACUUUAAAGAAACCAAUGAGAUUAUAAUAUUAAAUGUGCUACUGCCCACCUGUGCUGCCUACCUAUUUAGUGACCUUUCCGUAAGCUACUUACAGUUACCUAUAGAACAAACUGGGGGCUGGGGAUGUACUGUGCUGGAAGCUUCAUAUACAUUAUUUGAUUGCAUCUUUCCAAAAACUCCACGCAUGUAGGUACAACAACUGUUCUCAUUUUAUAUAUGAGGAAAUUGAGACAGAGUGUCUCACCCUAUGUCUCAGGCUAAAUGAAAUUUGGGAUUUGCUGUCUUUUACCACAAAUUCCAGCAUGUUGUACAAAGUAGAGGGUUUAGUUUCACUUGUCCCAGAUCAUCCAAGGGAUUUGCACAUUUUUAGAAUAACAAAUUCUGGUGUGUUGCUUAAAACAUAGAAAAAAAACAAGAGCGAAACUCCAUCUCAAAAAAAAAAAAAAAAAAAAAAAAAAAAAAAGUCAUUCUUUUUGAGUCAUCAUGCAUGCCCCCAAAUUUCCUUUCAGCCAGACAGAUUUCUGGUUAAGAGGGUUGUAUUUUGGGUCUAGAAUGCUAUUUCCUGAGUCUUUGUGUUCAAAGCAUGGGUUUUUGAGUCCAGCUCUUACAGGUUCAAAUCCCAGCUCCACCACCUGCCUGCUUUGUGACUGUGAAUAACCACAUCACCCUCUCCGACCUCUGACAUUUCAUUUCCUCAGCCUGAAAAUGAAGAAAAUGAAACUUUGCUUUGAGUGUUGUUUAAAUGAGACAGUAGCUAUAAAGCACCUAGAAUAACAUAAACACCCAGAAACUGGUAGAUAUCAUUACAUGGAGAUUAAUACCCUCUGUAGCUACUUUUUGCUUAAGAAACUGAAAUGUGCACACACAAAGUGGUAUUUCACACAAUGGAAGCUGCAAAGGCAGGUUAACGUUUUUGAAAGUUUUCUCCUGAAAGAAAAAAUUAGAGAAAGUCUAGUGUUAUUGUGCAGUAAAUUAAAAACCUCCACCAUCUGAAAAUACCAGUGGAACUUCACUUCAAAAACCUAAACUGACAAAUCAUAAAUCAGCUGGUGGACUACUGUAUUUCCAUUAUCACAUGAUUCAACGACUGUUUAAAUGGAGGGCCCCCUUAGGGCAUUUCAGUAUUUGUUUAUAUUUUCUGUUUCAAACUUUUUAUUGAAGUGUAAUAUACCUAUAGAAAAGUAUACAUAUCAGCUGGGCGCCGCAACUCACGCCUGUAAUCCCAACACAUUGGGAGGCCGAGGUGGGAGGAUCGCUUGAGCCCAGGAGUUCAAGAUCAGC